GAACGCCUGUAGCAAUACAGGAGUGGCAGACGGGUGAGUAACACGUGGGAACGUGCCCUUCGGUUCGGAAUAACCCAGGGAAACUUGGGCUAAUACCGGAUACGUCCGCAAGGAGAAAGAUUUAUCGCCGAGGGAUCGGCCCGCGUCCGAUUAGCUAGUUGGUGGGGUAAUGGCCUACCAAGGCGUCGAUCGGUAGCUGGUCUGAGAGGACGAUCAGCCACACUGGGAUUGAGAACGGCCCAGACUCCUACGGGGGGCAGCAGUGAGGAAUUUUCCGCAAUGGGCGCAAGCCUGACGGAGCAACGCCGCGUGCAGGAGGACGCUUUUCGGAGUGUAAACUGCUUUUCUGUGGGACGAGGAUGGACGGUACCACAGGAAGAAGCCCCGGCUAACUACGUG
rnacentral:rRNA from 1 species